UUCCUUCGCCUACCUGAAACAAUGAUAAAAGCGGAAAAAAUUGCGGUCCUCGGGCGUGGAAGUUGGCGGAGGCAUGCAAGCCCUGCAGAGUCCUUAAGUGACAAGCUUCUGGCAUUGCACGAGUUAAAAGGUGUCUUCAUAUCUGGUAGAUCUUGCUUUGCAGUCCUCUUCUCAAGUGUCCUUGGACAAGUGCAGCUAGCCGCACUCAUUGCUUGCAUUGUUAUGUCUUCAUUGCGUCUGAAAAGGCAAGAUUAUGUGGAUCAACAGAAUCAAGGGAACUAUGAUCAUAAGAACAUUAGGUGGUCUCUGAACAUCUUCUAUGCAUUAGUGCUCAGCCAAUGCAUUCUCUAUUUCCUAACUGGGAUACUGGCAAACCCGUUGAAACGGAUAACUCUAGUCUGUAUGAAGUACAAGCUAGACAUCUGGGGGUUUCUAGCUCUUUCUCGCUAUCUACAGGCAUGCGUUCUGAAAUGCAUCAAUGGUGAUCUUCGUGAAGCAGUCAACAUGGACUUGGUUUCCUUUGCAAAGCAGCUACUGAACUCUGACCCACUGGACGACCAGCUGCUGGGAAUUCGUAUUCUUGACCACCUCCUCAGAAGCAGGGAACACGAAGAUGAAUGCUACAAAGAAAAGGUGCUCACCAAGAUUCGAUCUUCUCUUGAUACCGUCGAGAAAGCAGUAUACAUGAUGGGCUUGGACAGAGAGGUGGAACAAGACACCAGAGGGCAUGCUGCGCGCAUACUGCUGGAGCUCGCACCUGGCCUUCAAGUCGAGAACUUUCCUGGUAUUUUUCAAUCUAUUUCUUCACUGCUUAGCGCACGCAGGACCAAGACCAGUGGAAGUUCCAGCAAUUCAACCUGUGCAAGCAAAGAGCUCAAAUUGCUUGGUGUGGAUAUUCUCGACAACCUCCUGACUAAUCCAGAAAACUGUGCGGAGGUGAAGAAUGCCAAGAACCUGCUCUCCAAGAUCAUACACAUUACAAGCUGCCAAGAUGAAAAGCUAGAUUUUGAUAUUGAUAAAAAGAUAGUCGAAAACUCACUAGAAGUCUUGCGCAAGCUUGUGAGCACAGCUGGUGAGACCGGCGAGGAGCUCAGGUGCCAAGUGUCUAGUAAUAUGUACACCAUAAGGAAUAUUGGCAAGUUCUUCAUAGAUCAUCCUGAAAGUGAACCACAGAUGCUUGCUCAAGCAGCAGACAUCCUUGCAUGCCUAGCUUCAAAUGACACUGCGAGAAAGGAGAUAGAAAGGUCACACCUAAUCAUCCGGAAACUCAUCGGUCUCCUAGCUGAAGAAAUUGAUGACGUCCAAGAAAGCUCCAUGAGAGUGUUGGCAGCCGAAGCGUUGGUAUUGCUCACUGCUCCUACCAAAGAAAACGGCGAGCUCAGUAUAGUGAGUGAAAGGAGCAUCAAGCCAGUAUUGUCAGAAAAUAAGCUUGAAGGCAUGCAGCGAAUUGUCUCGCUGCUCUCUGAUGAGUCUGCAGAGCAUAGAAUUAUGGUGGCAAAAUUCCUGCAGAAUCUGCGGAGUUACCGGGGAGCAGAAUAUGGUGAUCAGCUGGAGAUAAUCAACAAAGCUCUACCAAAGGUAACUGCUAAGCAGCACCUAUCCUGAUUCAAAUCUUGGAACAGAAAAUUAACUUUUAUCUAUUUUGCACCCAUAUGCGAAAAAUAAAAAAGGUUGGCUUUGGUUAUCUUACACUUCCUUCUGCUGAAGCAUAUACUCCCUCCAUCCCAUAAUAUAAGAGCGUUUUUUACACUAAUGUAGUGCCAAAAAUGCUCUUAUAUUAUGGGACAGAGGAGUAGUUUUUAUUUAUCUUCAUUUGACAUAUUAUCAGGGGCGGCGCUAGGGGUAUUCUUGGGUCUUCAUGUGAAUACCCAUGAUGUUUACAAAACAGUGUUGAUUUUGGCAAAAUAGUGACAAUUUUCGAAAAACAGCAAUGAUUUUGGCAAAAUGAAUACACAUGAAUACCCGGUUGCAAAUUCCUGGAGCCGCCCGUGCAUAUUAUGCUUGAAAUGGUGCAUAUACAUAUAUAUCACCCUUGCAUGAUAAAUCCAUAUUUUAUUUUAAACUCACUGGUAUACAUUUGAUUUUUGGGGAUGACAAGUAUAUGAAUGCUGUCACAGGUAUUGGAAGCAAUCAAGAUUGCAUCGGAUAAAAUAGAAGCGAUAGGUUGUGCUGAUGAACCUUCUGGUCAUGUAAGAAAACAGAUUUCUCCAUCUUCCCUGUUUAACAUAGUAAAUUCAUAGGGCCUGUUAUUCCGAUUCAACUAGUUUUCCUUUGAAAUUUAUAUUUUGUUGGAAUAGUAUUAUCCUUAUAUGCGCUGUAUACACAGGAGAUAGAGGCGCUGAUAACUGAACAAGGCAAGCUGCUGGAGAGCUUUAUUGGCCUGUGCAUGCAAAUUUGCAUCAGCGGGAAUGCAAAGCAGUUCACCGAUGCGCUGAGGAGUGCUGAGAUUACAGACGAUAUGUUCGUCCAGAUGCUUACAAAGAUACUGGAAGUGUACAAGUCUCCAACUUCCGAUACUCCAGGCAUAAGAAGGGUGGUGAUUCAACAAAUGAACUGGAUGAUGGAUGAGGACCAAGAGUACAUCAACAUUUUCCUGAAGCAUGAAAUGGAAAAUGCACUGAAAGAAGUAGUAGAGACGGCAUUGAAGCUUGAGAACUAUUGGUUCUUUCGUUUUGACGUCAAAGCUUUUGAGCAUGAGGAAUCCAUUUAUUCUCUUCUCAGCAUUUCGCCACUACUGCAGGCAGGUGGUUCGGGCUUGUAGUUGGAUCAGCAAACAUCUAUCCCAAGUACGUACUCUCUUCCAUCUCAUGUAAAACAUAUGCUAAUUUGCCGAUGAGAUUUAUAAUGCCUUUCAAAGAAGCUAUUUCGAGACUCAUAAACCCGCAGCUAUGGAAAUUUAAUUCAAAUUUCUCAAGAAUAAACAUAACUUAGGCUUAUGGUAGCCAGCCCAAAACAACAUAAUUUUGCUUUGGAAAUAAUCUAAGGUUAAGGCAGUCCUAGUAUUAAAGUCACGUGUCCCACUUUUCUCAAGUGCUGGCAUGAUCUAACUUGGAUUUUGUUGCAUGUUCUCUGCAGGGCACAAUCGUGAGAACACACCUACUAUAAUUGCCUACCUUCCUGCUCAAGCUAUCUGCCUAAAGCAAAUUUGCUUCGGGUUUCAGUAUUCGUGUGUUGAAUUCAGCUUCCCAGUUUGUUUAAUUUAGCCAACUUAUAAUAAUGCUCUCGGAGACAUACCUUACCGUGUGUCAACAAGGACUACUAUGCAAAUUAGACGGUUUGUCUAUAACUAGCAAAAAUGCCCGUGCGUUGCAACGGGUACAAAAUAAAUACAUGUGUGUGCUUUGAAAUUUGAAGAAAAAAACCACUUUGCAUACAUGGCAUGAUUGCAACUCAGAUCUGAAUGAAAUUUUCCAUGUAUAUGAAAUAGCAAAGUUUAACACACUGCCCAGUGAUGUACCAGUGUCAAGUUUUGUCUUUCGUAAAUCAGGAACAGGUCUUGUAUCUCUUGUGAUGUGAUUCGUCCCUAUGUCAGAAGAUAGUUAGAAAUCAAAACAGGGUGUGGAAAGAAACAUGUAAAAGAGUGCUAUAGUGACUAUUGUUGGCAACAGGGAGGUAGUUAUAGACACAGUAAAAUAUGUUGGCAUGGCCUAUGAUUUUUGCUUGGAGAAAAUAACUACAGAAAAGAGCACAAAUACGUAAGUAAUUUGGUAUGAUGGCCCAACUAAUAUAUAUGUUGCUCUAAUAAAUUGGUUAGACAUUGGCUAAAAGCCAAAUAAUCCCUUUUUCACUACAGACAACAGCUAGAGCAAGGGAUUGAUGUAUCAGGUAAAGUAAACUGCCAAAUCCCUCUUUACUAUUGGAUAUUCUUCAGAAAACAUAGUCCUGCAUGUAUAUAUUGAGCAAAAUGAAUGAAGAAAAGGGAACAUAUUCACUCAUGGUAAAAGUAAUUGCACUCUGACAACUAAGAGAAUAAGUUAGAGCAGGGGAGAUUGCUCUUUCUAAGCUAUAAUAGCAUGCAAAAAAUGGGCCCUUUAUGAAGAUGAAGGUAGACCAUCAAGUUGCAGUAAGUGAAGUGCUGGACAGUGAUAUACAGUAUGGUUGUUUUGUAAUGUGUCCCCUCGUAUUUAAAUAUGCGAUGUGAUGCUACAGUAGACAGUAAACAAACAAAAAAUGGCCGUCAUACAUGAUUGUUAGAAAGAGGCCUCACAUUUGAUCGAUAUCAUGAUUGUUGCGCCAUGAUACACCAUUUUCAAUCUUGCAAAACCGACCGGCCUUAUUCAUGUCAGACCUGCACAAAGGUUAUAGGCGUCUCAGAUUCUAUUGAAUUCACUACUGGUUUAAUUCUCAAAAUUUGGUCUCAACAAAUAGAAAAGGUAAGUAAGUAUUAGCAUAAUGAAAUGUAAUUAAUGUCACUUAAAAACCAAAAUAGUCCACCCAAAUGCAGUUAUAAAAAUUCUAGAACGAGAAAGAAAGAGCCUGUGCAUUGCAAUAAUGGGGAUAAUACUUAUUUCUCUCCCUCCAUAUCUCCUUCGGGUGUUGAUGCUCUCG
rnacentral:lncRNA from 1 species